GCGCUCGUAGCUCAAUUGGAUAGAGCACUAGUCUUCGGAACUAGGGGUUGGGAGUUCGACCCUCCCCGAGCGCA
rnacentral:tRNA from 3 species